rnacentral:rRNA from 1 species
AUGGACGAAAAGGAUUCUGUGGUGAUUGGGUCCAGCCACAAUACCCAUGAAAUGACACGAUCUUCGCAAAAGGAUAAUACAACGGAAAAAGGAUGGAAAAAGCCAGAGCUCGGAUGGGCUAAGGUUAAUGUUGAUGGAAGCUUUUUGCAGGAAAGUAGGAGUGAAGCCUGGGGAGCUGUGAUUCGAGACCAUGAUGGAAGAAUUAUCUUAUCAGCUUGGAAUUAUAUACCGCGGUGCAAUGAAACGAACUGCGCGAAAGCCGUGGCUUGCCUAGAAGGACUACGGAAGGCAAUGUCGGAGACGGAUCUACCCUUAAUCAUCGAGACGGAUUGCAGUUCAAUGACAAAGGCGCUCGUCCUCUCGUCUAUUGAUAGAUCGAAGGUUGGAACAAUUGCAAAGGAGUUUCAAGCCAUGAAAGGGAACAGAGAAGUUAGAGUUUGCAAAGUAGAUAGGAAGGAAAAUAGGUUAGCUCAUAGUCUUGCCCAGUUGGGGCGUAGAGAGUUGCGUGGAGGGGUUAUGCAAGGCACAGUGCCAGCCUGUGUGUUGAGCGAGGCCUUGCAUCAUUGUACGAACUACGUUUUCUCUACUUAA